GAUGAACGCUAGCGGCAGGCUUAACACAUGCAAGUCGAGGGGUAUUGGUUUUCGGACCAAGAGACCGGCGCACGGGUGCGUAACGCGUAUGCAAUCUACCUUUUGCAGAGGGAUAGCCCCAGAGAAAUUUGGAUUAAUACCUCAUAGUAUAGUACUUUGGCAUCAAGGAACUAUUAAAGUCACAACGGCAAAAGAUGAGCAUGCGUCCCAUUAGCUAGUUGGUAAGGUAACGGCUUACCAAGGCUACGAUGGGUAGGGGUCCUGAGAGGGAGAUCCCCCCACACUGGUACUGAGACACGGACCAGACUCCUACGGGAGGCAGCAGUGAGGAAUAUUGGACAAUGGGCGCAAGCCUGAUCCAGCCAUGCCGCGUGCAGGAUGAAGGGCCUUCGGUUGGUAAACUGCUUUUGUACGGAACGGAAACGGUAGGAGCUCUAA
rnacentral:rRNA from 1 species